rnacentral:lncRNA from 1 species
UGUACCAUACACACACAAUCUCCACUCACCCAACUACAGUUUUUACAGCACACCCAUCUCCCAUCCCUCUUAUGUCAACAACAUGGUAACUAGGUAAAAGUAAGUCCAUCAUAUUCUUCUCCAGGAAGGAAACUUUGGCAUACUAGUUCAUCCGUAGGGACAUUCCAGAGGUCCAAGAUCUCCAUACCGUUGCUCGGGGAAUAUGGCAGAUCAUACAAUUCGUCGCUAUGCCCAUCUAUAAACGGACAACCAUCAUAAAGCGGGCUUUGCUCUUCGUGCAUCUGGUCCUGCUGAGGGAUAAUAGGCCCAUUACUGUCUGGCAUGCUGGAAAUCAAUAUCUCAUUCUGAUUUUGGGUUUCGAUCGUUACUUCCCCAGAUGCCUGGAGGAGAAAAGGGGGAAAAAGAACAUAUAAAAGCUUUAGCUUAGAUAGGCAUAUUGGUAGUCAUAUUGCUUUAUGUCAACCCACAGCAAUUUUUCGUUACCUCUGUACUAACUUCGUCGGAUCGUCCAUUUCCAGAGUCAUUAGGAGUACUACUGGUGCUUGAACUGGCCGAAGCACACACUUUUGCUGACCUCGCUUUCUUGCAUUUCCUGUCGAUUAUGUGACAGAGAACAAAGGCCAUCUGCAAAGAUGAGAGGAUGUGGAUCAGAGUUCCAUAAACGGAGACCUUUAUAACCAUACACACAUGAAAUUUUCUAAGAUGGAUGACAAAUUGCCGAUUAAAGUGAAGCUAUUCUUAAUAUUCUAAACCAUAUUCAGCCUUACCUGCACUGGUAAACACGUUACAGAUGCUCAGUUACAGGAUUUAACAGAGGGAAAAAUGGAGUACCGGGCCGGAGAUUUUACUGUCAGAGACACUUGAGUUUAGGUGGUAUUCGUGCAUGACGACAUCAGUCUUGCGGCCUUUUGGUUGUCGGCCUUCAUAAUAAACCAAAAUCUUCCUGAUUCCUAUUUGUUUGCCAGUGACCAGGGAUCGUAUAACGCGUUUCUUACAGGUAUCUUUCCAAUAUCCCAAUUCUGUCAUCCUGUUAUUCGAACGACGAUUAUUUGGAAUUUUGUCCCCGCAAGGACAGAAGAAGAAGCACUCCCGUCCGUCUGACGGUAUGGCCGAUAAUUCUACAAACGAAGAACAGUUGAAUAAAUGGAUUGAGUAAACAUGGGAAAUUGGAAAUAUAGAGAAGACUAGAAGGACUAGCACUCCACUGUGCAGUUACCAUUGUAUGAAAUGAACAAAUCCGGAGGCUCGCAACUGUAGAUGUAUAGCUCUGGGAUAAGGCAGAAUGCUUCCAGUUUUCCCUUGAGCUUCCCUCUAAGGUGAUGAUCGACGAGUUCAUCCUCGGUCGGUUCAAAUCUGAGUCCCACCGGCCACGUUGCCAUUCGAUCUGAUGAUGCCUAUCAGUCUCGACUUCAACGUGCAAUAGACCAAGAGAAGAUCAGUGCAGACAAAUUGCAAGAGCAGGGGAAAAAACGGAGGAAACGGAGUUCACUAUUUGCUUUGCGUUUCUUGGGACUUUAGAGUGUGACUCCAAACCAAUCCAAGUGGGUCGACUUUAUAGGACAAAAAAGCAAUCACUUUUCUUCGCCCUUGCUUCAGAAGGGAUUGCACUGUUCAGUGGGAUCCCACUUCAAGCUGAAGACAGAUGCUUAUGCUGACGAUAGCAUCCAUUACCUAUAUUUACUUUGUCGGGUACAAUUCUGUAAAAUGGAUAAUACCACGUAAAAAAAAUCUCAAAACAUUAUAUUAUGUCAUAUUUACCACAAAUCAAUUUUUGUGUAACAAAAAAUCCGAAACUAGUAUAACGAUGCUACACUCAUCCCAAACUAAUUUUCAUCACAAGAAAUGCUAAAUCACCUAAAUCUUAGAUUGGAAAAGCCCUAAUUUUAGUGAUUUGGGAUUUUCUCUAAUAUAAAAAUUAGCAUCGAAUUAAUGAGAUACGGGUGUACCAAUUUGAAAUAUUUUAUGACAUGAAAAUUAAUUUUGUGUAAAAUGUAACAUAAUUUAUCAAUUUUUAGUGAUAUUAAUCAUUUAACGAAUAUUAUGGCCCUAAAGUGGCCUCAUCACCAGCUAUAUACAUUGCAUAUCAACUGCUACAGUCAUCAAUGGCCACUCUAGAAUUUCAUGCGACAGGCCGAUGAUGAUUGGGAGUUGCAAGUGGGUCCCAAUCAAGUAGACUUUAGUCUUUUUUAUGUCGUGUACACUGAGCAUUGAUGAUAGCAAACCGCUGUUGAUACCCCCAAAAGAUAUAACUCCUGCGAAAGGUCUAAAAUUUGGGGAAAUGACAUGAUAGGGCCUGAUCUUUCUAUAAAUGCUCAAUAUCAUCCUCGACUUUAUUUUUGGUUUAAUGAGGGUAAUUCUGCAAAUUCCACAUGUUCUAAUGCACACCCAUUUUUUAGUGUACAAGUUAUCCUUUUAUGGUAUUUGAUGUCUUUAGCAAAAGGAUGCGACCCAUUAUCGAAGAGGUUGAUCUCAAGAGCAGAUCUUAGAUAUCAAGGUUCGUGUAGCUAGGAAAAAGCAUUUAACAUAGUUAGUGUCACUUCCUAAUUUCCAUUAAGAAAGGAAUGAUACGGCUGUCAUCUUACUCAAAGGACGCAACCUAAAACAAAAACAACACAAACCUGCUAGCACAAUAUGUAUGACAAAAUAAGGAAUUGGUUAUGGAAUCAAAGUUUCUAAAAUCCAUCAAAGAAAACAUGUACAACUGCGAAAUCAACUAAACCCAACAACUAUCAUUAGACGUCCAUGACUCAUUUUCAAUAGUGUCCAAAAUCCAAUCACCAAAAUUCCCAUUGAUAUCAUUCUUAUAAUAGUUGUUGCUAAUUGGAAAAUCUGAAAAUCCUUAAAAAGAAUGAGUGGGUAACUAUAGCUCAGUGAGCAGUGUAUAUACCUUCUAAACAAAUUGAGAAUCCACUAUACAUAUCAUAAAUACUCAUUAAAUUAGUAAUAUCAAAGUAAAUAUCAACAAUCCAAUCCAUUGAUCGAUUUCAACAAUUUAUUUAUCAAUGUUCUAUUCCAUUAAUUAUCUCAUUAAAUCACAUGUCCAUUUCAUAGACCAAUCUAUUGUUUAAUAUCUAACUAUAGUCAUGCUUAACACCCAUAACAAAAGCAACUAAGUUUACCCCUAUUGACUAGGUCUACCACCUAUAUUAGUCGGUGGCUCAACGUAGGAGGACAUCUUGAGAACAAUAUGCAUACUCGGCCUUCAAUGGGUUCUAAUCAUAGCAACAUGAGCAUGAACCUCAUUCUCUAAUAUUCUCAAAACCAAAACCAUAGUUUAUCUUAUAAAUCGAUUUCACAAAUCAAACCAUAUCGCCUUUCACAACUCAAUUUAUCAAAUAGAAUGCAUUUUGUAAAUCAUUUCACAAAUCAAUACAUAUAAUCUUUCAUAAACCAUACUCAAAGUUAGCUCCUCCUAAUUAUUUCACAAAAUAGUUUCACAAACCCAAAAUAUAUAAUUUUUUUGAACUCGGUUCAUCAAAUAAUAUAUAUGUUUCACAAGACAUUUCUCACAUAAUUCUGAAAAGCAUUUCUUAAACUAGUAAUAUUUUGAAAUGCCUUUCAUAAAAUGUUUCUCGAAUGAUUCACAAAUAACUGCAAAGUAGUAAAUGCCCAAUCUAGAUCUUUUACAACAAACAUGCUCUUUCAAAACUCAUAAUAUAUCGAAUCCCUAUCACUUUCAAGAUAUAAGUUUAUAAACUCACAAAAGAGAUUGUGACACUUACUUGGAAACGCCUAAAAUCAAACUAUGAAGGUUACUUGAACUAUCAAACUUGUAAUGUUAUCAAAUAUAUAUGGAACAACAUCAAAAUUGAGUAAAAUGCUACAUCAAUUAUGAGCUGCUAAACCAAUCUUUUUUUAUUUUUUUUCCUGAAAGCUAAACUAAGCUUACUUGGUAACUAAAAGAUUCUUAGGUGCCUACCAAAAUCCUUGCUCGAAGAGGAUAAUCAAAGUUAUGUGCAAUGCAAAACUUGAGCACGAAACUUCGAAAAUUCGUUCCGAUCAAAUUAAAAUCCAAGCUUGUUCCGCCCGAUUUCUGGAUUGAGCUCAACUCGGUGCUCCCCUAACACUUAAGCUGUUGAUGAGAUUUGAUAUCUAGUUUGGGCCUGAAAAUUUUACUCACCGAUCGCGGUUUAGCUCACAAUUUCCCAAUCCCCCUUUCUUUUGUCGUCCUCUUUCUCCCUCUUCUUCGUUCCUUUUGUCUUCUUUUUUAUGGUCUGUUCGUUCCUUUUAUGUCGCACGCAGUGAAACCUAACACCUCAAAUCCAGUCACAACCCAACCGCGAUGGCCAAGGGAUUGCUUCCAGCAGUGUUGAGGUGGUAUGAGGAUUAGUUGUCGGUCGCAGUGAAGGUUGGUUCCGUUUGGCAUCGUGGUCAGUGGUGGCUAUGAAUUCUUGAUGGUGGUUCCAAGGUCAGUCGUAGCGGCAUCAUGGAUUGUGGACUGUAGCAGACGAUGAUGGAACGUGAAACAAUGCGAGUGGCUGCGAAAGAAGAAAAAUCUAUGGUGGCAGCAAUUUGUUUCGUUAAAUUAGAAAAGAAGAUGGUGAUGAUGGCAUGUGAGUAUGUUGGUUCAAUGAUGUGCAGUGGCUGCGACGGUGAUGCUGCAGCGUGUUCAAUUUUACAGAGAAGAUAGACGAUGGUGAACGAUGGUGUGCCGCGGGAGAAGCCAUAGCGCUUCAGCUUGCUCAGGGUGUUGACAAUUGCAUAGGUACAAUUUGAUCUGCAAUUGGUGUGCACAGCUGAGAUGCAGAAUGCAUCCCCUACCACAAGUGAAGUACAAGAUAAAAAAAAUGCUUCAGACAUAUUUGGAUUUGCAAACGGUAAGGCUUCGAAUGCAACGACAGACGUACAGGAUUGAGAACACUGUCAGAAGAAUCUUUACGGUUUGGCAUUUCAGUUGCGAGAUCGGUGAAAAUUUUCAUCAAGAGUGGAAACUGGAGGCUAUAACCUGUCUUACUAGACAAGUCACGCAGUUUAGAUGGAGGGGAUGCAGCUUAAAUUGGAUGAGUCUCGGAUCAUCCACUCAUUAGACAGAAAAGACAAGGUAAUAAACAAGUCAUUUGCAACCAGCACAAAAUGGUUUUCCUUCACUCACACUGCAACCAGUACAAAACAUAAUACUGAUGUGUCCAUACUUUCACAACCUGACUGUUAUAAGCAGCACUACAUAGUUUGUACCAUACACACACAAUCUCCACUCGCCCAACUACAGAUUUUACAGCACACCCAUCUCCCAUCCCUCUUAUGUCAACAUGGUAACUAGGGAAAAGUAAGUCCUUCAUAUUCUUCUCCAGGAAGGAAACUUUGGCAUACUAGUUCAUCCGUAGGGACAUUCCAGAGGUCCAAGAUCUCCAUACCGUUGCUCGGGGAAUAUAGCAGAUCAUACAAUUCGUCACUACGCCCAUCUAUAAACGGACAACCAUCAUAAAGAGGGCUUUGCUCUUCGUGCAUAUGGUCCUGCUGAGGGAUAAUUGGCCCAUUAUCGU